rnacentral:sRNA from 1 species
CGGAAGGAUCAUUACAGUAAUAUGCUGUAGACCUGGUGUCUUGGAUAAAACCCAUGGGGUGUACUAUUCCCUCAUGUGGCCCCGUAAAAAAGGGAAUCCAGCACCGCCUAACCUUGCAAACUUUUAAAAACGUUACCUCGGCGGGUUUGCCCGCCGGUGGAUAUAUAUUAAAACUCUUUAAAUAUGACUGUAAAUUAGCAUUAAAUGUCUGAAAAUUUAGUUUAAAUAUUAAAACUUUCAACAACGGAUCUCUUGGUUCUGGCAUCGAUGAAGAACGCAGCGAAAUGCGAUAAGUAGUGUGAAUUGCAGAAUUCAGUGAAUCAUCGAAUCUUUGAACGCACAUUGCGCCCCUCGGUAUCCCGGGGGGCAUGCCUGUUCGAGCGUCAUUUCUACCCCUCAAGCUUAGCUUGGUAUUGGGCAUCAUUAUUUUCUUUUUAGGGGAAGUAAUGUGCCUUAAAUAUAGCCGGCGGCAAGCACCAGUUCCGAGCGUAGCAGUAAAACAUUUCGCUUUGGGAAUUUGGAGCAUUGUUAACCGUAUAAAGUCUUUUUUAUAGUUUGACCUCGGAUCAGGCAGGGAUACCCGCUGAACUUAAGCAUAUCAAUAAGCGGAGGAAAAGAAACCAACAGGGAUUGCCUUAGUAACGGCGAGUGAAGCGGCAAUAGCUCAAAUUUGAAAUCUGGCGUCUUUGGGCGUCCGAGUUGUAAUUUGUAGAGGAUGUUUCGGCAUUUGGCUCUAGUCUAAGUCCCUUGGAACAGGGUGUCAUAGAGGGUGAGAAUCCCGUAUGUGAUUAGUUGCCUUUGCCAUGUGAAACUCCUUCGACGAGUCGAGUUGUUUGGGAAUGCAGCUCUAAUUGGGAGGUAAAUUUCUUCUAAAGCUAAAUACUGGCCAGAGACCGAUAGCGCACAAGUAGAGUGAUCGAAAGAUGAAAAGCACUUUGGAAAGAGAGUUAAAAAGUACGUGAAAUUGUUGAAAGGGAAGCGCUUGCAAUCAGACCUGCUUGCAGUUGUUCAUCUAGGCUCUCGGGCCUAGUGCAUUCUUCUGUAAGUCAGGCCAGUAUCGGUUUAGGCGGUUGGAUAAAGAAUUCAGGAAUGUAGCUUCUUUCGGGAAGUGUUAUAGCCUGUUUUGUAAUGCAGCCAGCCUAGAUCGAGGACCGCGCUUCGGCUAGGAUACUGGCGUAAUGGUUGUAAGCGGCCCGUCUUGAAACACGGACCAAGGAGUCUAACAUCUGUGCGAGUGUUUGGGUGUCAAACCCAUGCGCGUAAUGAAAGUGAACGGAGGCGGGAACCUUUUUUUAGGUGCACCGUCGACCGAUCCUGAUGUCUUCGGAUGGAUUUGAGUAAGAGCAUAGCUGUUGGGACCCGAAAGAUGGUGAACUAUGCUUGAAUAGGGUGAAGCCAGAGGAAACUCUGGUGGAGGCUCGCAGCGGUUCUGACGUGCAAAUCGAUCGUCAAAUUUGGGCAUA